CUCUAAUAGACACACCUAGAUCAUUCCCUACCUCUCUUAAUCUAAAAAGAUAUCUAUUUCAUAUUCUGACAAUGUUUAUGCUGCUACUGAUCGAGAAAAGAGGGAAGAACUGAUCUCGUUGAUGUUGUAGAAGAUGAAUCUGUAAUGGAAUUAGGGAAUUGAUGUCUGUAAGAUUUCAAGAAACAAGGGUUUGAGGUGAACUUGAGAUGAAGUGAAGAUUUAAGGGUUUGAUGUCUGUUUUGUUGAUGUAGAUUACGUUGAGGGGUGCAACAAAAUCAAAAGAUUAAGGAUUACGUUGAGGGGUGCAACAAAAUCAUACUUAAGAACAGUGGAAAACUCUUACAUUGACAGCUCUGACGAGGGGAACCAAGUGGAGGAGGA